UUUUCCUACGGGAGGCAGCAGUGGGGGAUAUUGGACAAUGGGGGAAACCCUGAUCCAGCGAUGCCGCGUGAGGGAAGGAGGUUUUCGGAUUGUAAACCUCUGUGGAGGGGGACGAUAAUGACGGUACCCCUUUAGGAAGCCACGGCUAACUACGUGCCAGCAGCCGCGGUAAUACGUAGGUGGCGAGCGUUGUCCGGAAUUACUGGGUGUAAAGGGAGUGUAGGCGGGAAAGCAAGUUCGAAGUGAAAACUAUGGGCUUAACCCAUAGCCUGCCUUUGAAA
rnacentral:rRNA from 1 species